ensembl:lncRNA
CAGACACCACCAUUUUUAGUGCACAGGUCAUGGCAUUGCACACAGCUGCCGUCUUGUGCAGCCUCCCUCACUGCUCCUCUCUGGAACUCUCUCAUCCAUCCACAUGGAAUCCCUAAGCGCAGUGCACUAACCCUCCUCCCAGGCUUUCAGCUCCAGACAUUCACCGCCUCCUUUCUGUCUCCAGAAGCCUCACAGCUGUUUGGUCUACAAGACUCUUUAUGAACAGUCCAAAGAAGCCGUUCUGGAUGCAAACCUGUAACCCCAAAGAGGCUGCUUCUACAUUCGGCGCCAGGACACCGUGUGGCACCCCAAGCCACCAGGUUCAGCAUUGUGCCUGCACAUCAGACUGGCACACCCACCCCUAGCCCCGUAAUUCUGCUGUGGAUGACAGAUAACAUGGGCAUAAUCAGAAGAAUACAUCUUUCUCUGGAAGUUCUGAUAAGAUGUCUAGUGAGUCGCUUGGAAGUAAUUACAAAUGAGGUUGGGUCCCUAAAUCUUGUCUUUCUA